GAUGAAGAACGUAGCGAAAUGCGAUAAGUAAUGUGAAUUGCAGAAUUCAGUGAAUCAUCGAAUCUUUGAACGCACAUUGCGCCCGCCAGUAUUCUGGCGGGCAUGCCUGUUCGAGCGUCAUUUCAACCAUCAAGCCCCCGGCUUGUGUUGGGGACCUGCGGCUGCCGCAGGCCCUGAAAAGCAGUGGCGGGCUCGCUGUCACACCGAGCGUAGUAGAUUUCAUCUCGCUCAGGGCGUGCUGCGGGUUCCGGCCGUUAAACCACCUUCAUAACCCAAGGUUGACCUCAGAUCAGGUAGGAAGACCCGCUGAACUUAAGCAUAUCAAUAAGCGGAGGG
rnacentral:misc_RNA from 1 species